UGUUUCGGGCAGAGAUCAAAAGCCAAAUGACUCUGCCUCUCGUUGCCUGGUACCACCGCUUUUGGUCUCCUCGCGCGAGGCAUCACAUACAAUCCAGUUCUUCUAUUCAGUUCGAUUGACUUACAUUUUUUCGGAAGGAAAUUUUGUCUCGGAAGCUAGUUCUCAGAUCUGGUUGGUUGGCUGUUAUCCCCGAGGAGAAGAGAACUGAAAAACGCGAGACUCCUAGCUCAACUAUUCCGGUGCCUGCGAAUUACUAGCAGACUGCUGGAUUCGUUUACUGUAGUUGAGCAGUGGAGAUAUGAGGUUUGCCAUUUCAUGAAAAAGCCUUUGAGGUGGAGAUUGCUCAAGGAUCCAAGAUUCAUGAUCUCAUGAUUGUUGUUUUGAAUUGUUCUUUCAGCAUGUGCCAGAUAAAUACCAGCUACAUGGCAGGUAUAGUGUUUCAACAGUGCAGUCUAUGGUAUUGGGAUGAAACGUUGGUUGAGAGUGACUAGGUCAAAAGACGGAUAGCAUGGCCAAUAGACAAGUGAGAGAUUUUAUCUAUGAUCUAUUGAUAUCUCACUCAGUGGUUUUCAUUUUAUUUGUAGAGGCACGCAUCAUGCUCUCGGUCUUUCAACUAAUGAUGCAAAUUUUAGGCAUCUACAUUCAUGGAGUGUCACGUUGAUCAAAGCAAAGGAUUCCUUGCACUUAUCGGUCAGCAUUUUCUCCACGAAUACAUGAAGAUUAAUAUCAUAAAAAACAACAUUUUAGAGGUAAGAGAAUUCAAACUUUUGAACUCUUAAUAUAUGUUUGGUAUGUGUCAUUUGAAUAAAUUUUUUUUAGUACAUAUUAUUUCUAUGAAAUAUCUUAAUAUAUGUUUGGUAUGUGUCAUUUGAAUAAAUUUUUUUUAGUACAUAUUAUUUCUAUGAAAUAUUUGUAGAGUAUGUUUUAAAUUUACAUAAUUAUGUUUCAUGAAUAUUCUCAAAACCAGAGAAAUAACUAAUUUAAUAAAUAAGGUCUAAUUAUGCACUCGAUGACGAAUUUUAUUUCUUAUCUUCGUUAUCAGCCCCUAGAACUCUAGUGUCAACCUUGAACUACUACGUUUUUUUCCCUUGGUUUAUAGUUUUGUUUUUCUUUCCGAAAAAUAGAACUGUUUAAUAAUCACUUGUUACAAUCUGAAAAGUGGUUCUGAAAUUAUAAAUUAAUUUUUAAAACAAUAUAAACAAGAUUUCAUAAAUAUACACUCUUCUUACAUGUUCUUCUAAAACUAUUUCAUAAAUAGACCCUAUCGAUUUUCUCCAAAAUUUCUCUCUUCAAUUUUUUCCUUCAAUAUAUACUUUUCUUACUUUUCUCACUAUAAUUUUCCCCCUUCUAGCUCUUCUUUCUUUGACAUAUAUUUUCCAUUUCUCUAUUAACUUUUAUUCUCCCCAACAUAUCACCGUAUCUAUCAUCUUCUCUUAACAUUUUUAUUAGAAGAAAAACUAGAUAUCCAUGCCGCUACAAAGGGAAGAGUUGAAACCCUUUUAUGACUGAUACUGCCUAUGAUUUUGGAAAGCUAUGUUGAAACUUCAAACGCAGUAGAGCGGGACAGCAAAUAUGGGGUUCUAUUUGCAGAAGAAAAUAGAAUAAAGGAAACAAAAGAGAAAAAUGACGGCAUGUUUAGUCGAAUCUUAUGAAUAUGGUCAUGUCUAUAGAAAUGUUUAAUUUUGAUACAUCAGUACAAAUAUGUUUUAAUUGUUUUAACUGUUUUAUUUGAAAAUUUGGGAUAUAAUUUAAGGCUACUGUUCAAAAUAUUUUAACUUCAUUUUUCA